rnacentral:rRNA from 1 species
GAGAUUGGGCGUUCCCCUCGGGGGACAGGGUGACGAGGUGGUGCAUGGUUGUCGUCAGCUCGUGUCGUGAGAUGUUGGGUUAAGUCCCGCAACGAGCGCAACCCUCGCCUCUAGUUGCCAGCAUUCGGUUGGGCACUCUAGAGGGACUGCCGGCGACAAAUCGGAGGAAGUGGGGAUGACGUCAAAUCAUCAUGCCCCUUAUGACCUGGGCUACACACGUGCUACAAUGGGCGGUACAAAGGGCUGCGAACCCGCGAGGGGGAGCGAAUCCCAAAAAGCCGCUCUCAGUUCGGAUUGCAGGCUGCAACUCGCCUGCAUGAAGCCGGAAUCGCUAGUAAUCGCGGAUCAGCAUGCCGCGGUGAAUACGUUCCCGGGCCUU